AUAAAAAGUUCUUCUAGCGACAGGUUUUCGCCGUGAUCUGCAGAGUUCCAUGAAGAAAACAUCUGAGAUCAUCGUGAAAGCCAGUUGCUUAAGAGGACUCAU
rnacentral:pre_miRNA from 18 species